AGUGCUUUAUUUAUUUUAUUUUUUAUUUAUUUAUUUUUUGGUUUUUCGAGACAGGGUUUCUCUGUGUAGCCCUGGCUGUCCUGGAACUCACUCUGUAGACCAGGCUGGCCUCGAACUCAGAUCCGCCUGCCUCUACCUCCCGAGUGCUGGGAUUAAAGGCGUGCGCCACCACUGCCCGACAAGAGCAUUUUUAUUACAUUUAUUUUGUGUGUCCGGGCUUAGAAGUGCUUUAUUUUACUCUGUGAAGAAUGGUGUCUGUAAAUCGGAAAUCGGUCUUAUUUCAGUAUCACCAUUAUCUCCAACGUAUUCCUCCCAGAAACAGAAAACUUAAUUCCCAUAUAAAGCAUACCAUAAAGAACAGAAGGUCAAAAGGGGACCUGGCAGAUAUUCUGGCUGUUUAAAUUAGGCCAGGUCUACGAGCUCUCCGCUAGCCAAUCAGCAACAAGGAGAGACACAGCAGGUUUCACCCACUACUGGAUCACAUGGAGAAUCAGCUCUCAGCAAUGCACCCGACCCCUUUCUUUGCUGCUGUCUCCAGCAGGUCCCUACACUUACACACUUACACACUCACACUUACACACAUAACCAGCGCUCUAAGUGAAUCAGGCCUUCUUCUCCCCACGGCCCGCCCCCUAGCCCCGGAAGUUACGUUCCGCGCCCCGCCCCCGGACGCCGAGUUUUUCUAUCCGGAUUCUUAGCGCGGACUCCCGAGUGCCGCUUUUCUCUACGUGCUCCGCACAUGCGCGGCUGCCUGUCCCUUCUUCCUCCGCUUCCACUGGCGUCCACGGUUCGCCGAGCCGCCGCCAGCAUCGCGGAGGAGUCGGGAAGUUCAAGAUGGCCGCCACGGAGCCCCCGUCCCUGCGGGAGCAAGCUGAGAUGGAUGAUGCUGAUAAUUCUGAAAAGAGUGUAAAUGAAGAAAAUGGAGAGGUAUCAGAAGACCAAUCUCAAAAUAAACACAGUCGUCACAAAAAAAAGAAGCAUAAACACAGAAGUAAACAUAAGAAACAUAAACAUUCCUCAGAAGAAGAUAGGGAUAAAAAACACAAACAUAAGCAUAAGCAUAAGAAGCACAAACGGAAAGAAGUUAUCGAGGCUUCCGACAAAGAAGGCCUGUCCCCUGCAAAAAGAACUAAGCUUGAUGAUUUAGCUUUGCUGGAAGACUUGGAAAAGCAGAGAGCCUUGAUUAAAGCUGAGCUUGAUAAUGAGUUAAUGGAGGGGAAGGUCCAGUCUGGAAUGGGGCUCAUUUUGCAAGGCUAUGAGUCUGGCUCCGAAGAAGAAGGAGAGAUUCACGAAAAGGCAAGAAAUGGGAACAGGUCCAGUACCAGGUCUUCCAGUACUCGGGGAAAACUUGAAAUUACGGACAACAAAAAUAGUGCAAAGAAACGAAGUAAGAGCAGAUCCAAAGAACGGACCAGGCACAGAUCGGACAAAAGGAAAAGCAAGGGGGCUGGGGAAAUGCUGAGAGAGAAAGCAAACAGGAGCAAGUCCAAGGAGAGGAGAAAAUCCAAAAGCCCAUCCAAAAGAAGCAAGUCUCAAGACCAAGCUAGAAAGUCAAAGUCCCCUCCACUCAGACGGCGGUCCCAAGAGAAAGUGGGGAAGGCCAGAUCUCCUGCUGAGGAGAAGAUGAAGAGUGAAGAGAAAGGCAAAAUAAAGGAUAGGAAAAAAUCACCAAUUGUAAAUGAAAGGAGUCGAGAUAGAUCUAAAAAAUCCAAGUCCCCAGUUGACUUAAGAGAUAAAUCCAAAGACAGAAGGUCAAGGUCCAAAGAGCGGAAGUCAAAACGAUCUGAAAUUGACAAAGAAAAGAAGCCAAUUAAAUCACCUUCAAAGGAUGCUUCUUCUGGGAAGGAAAAUAGGUCACCCAGUAGAAGACCUGGCCGUAGUCCUAAAAGAAGAAGUUUGUCUCCAAAACUGCGAGACAAGUCAAGAAGAAGUAGGUCUCCGCUUCUCAAUGACAGAAGAUCUAAGCAGAGCAAAUCGCCUUCUCGAACUCUGUCUCCAGGCAGAAGGGCCAAGAGCCGAUCCUUAGAAAGAAAACGGAGAGAACCAGAGAGGAGACGACUUUCUUCUCCGAGAACAAGACCUCGAGAUGAUAUCCUUGGUAGAUGUGAACGGUCAAAAGAUGCCAGCCCCAUCAAUAGGUGGUCUCCAACCCGAAGAAGAAGUAGGUCUCCAAUUAGAAGGAGGUCCCGUUCCCCAUUGAGACGCAGCAGGUCUCCUAGAAGAAGAAGCAGGUCUCCUCGGAGAAGAGAUAGGAGCCGAAGGAGCAGGUCACGCUUGAGGAGAAGGUCUCGAUCACGGGGUGGUCAUAGGAGAAGGAGCAGAAGCAAAGUAAAGGAAGAUAAAUUUAAAGGAAGUCUCUCAGAAGGAAUGAAAGUUGAGCAAGAGUCUUCAUCUGAUGAUAACCUUGAAGAUUUUGAUGUGGAGGAGGAAGAUGAAGAGGCUCUAAUAGAACAGAGAAGAAUACAGAGGCAAGCAAUUGUGCAGAAAUAUAAAUAUCUUGCUGAAGAUAGCAAUAUAUCUGUGCCAUCUGAGCCAAGCAGCCCCCAGAGCAGCACAAGAUCACGAUCUCCUUCGCCAGACGACAUCUUGGAGCGAGUUGCUGCUGAUGUAAAAGAAUAUGAGCGGGAGAAUGUUGACACCUUUGAGGCCUCAGUAAAAGCCAAGCAUAAUCUAAUGACAGUUGAACAGAAUAAUGGCUCAUCUCAGAAGAAGAUUUUGGCACCUGACAUGUUUACAGAAUCUGAUGACAUGUUUGCUGCUUAUUUUGAUAGUGCUCGUCUCCGAGCUGCUGGCAUUGGGAAAGAUUUCAAAGAAAAUCCCAACCUCAGAGAUAAUUGGACAGAUGCAGAAGGCUAUUACCGUGUGAACAUCGGGGAAGUCCUAGAUAAACGUUAUAAUGUGUAUGGCUACACUGGGCAGGGUGUGUUCAGCAAUGUUGUGCGUGCCAGGGAUAAUGCGAGAGCCAACCAGGAAGUGGCUGUAAAGAUCAUCAGGAACAAUGAACUCAUGCAAAAGACUGGUUUAAAAGAGCUAGAAUUCUUGAAAAAACUUAAUGAUGCUGAUCCUGAUGACAAGUUCCAUUGCCUGCGCCUCUUCAGACACUUUUACCACAAACAGCACCUCUGUCUCGUCUUUGAACCUCUCAGUAUGAAUUUGCGAGAGGUAUUAAAAAAAUAUGGUAAGGAUGUCGGUCUCCAUAUUAAGGCUGUACGAUCGUACAGUCAGCAGUUGUUCCUGGCAUUGAAACUCCUUAAAAGAUGUAAUAUCUUACAUGCAGAUAUCAAACCGGAUAAUAUUCUGGUUAAUGAAUCCAAAACAAUUUUAAAACUUUGUGAUUUUGGAUCGGCCUCACAUGUUGCAGAUAAUGACAUUACGCCUUAUCUUGUCAGUAGAUUUUAUCGUGCUCCGGAGAUCACAGCUGCACGAGUUAGCGAGCUCAUCCUCCUCCUCAGGUGGCAUGAAGGUAGUUGUGACAGGAGUCUUGGUCAUGUCGAGCAAGAGUAGCAAACAGUUGUGGAAACCCUCGACUUUAGAAGACUGCUCUUGGUUGUUCAAGUUAUAGGUAAAAGCUAUGACUACGGUAUCGAUAUGUGGUCUGUAGGUUGUACCUUAUAUGAACUCUACACUGGAAAAAUCUUAUUCCCUGGCAAAACUAAUAACCAUAUGUUGAAGCUCGCCAUGGACCUUAAAGGAAAAAUGCCAAAUAAGAUGAUCCGGAAAGGUGUAUUCAAAGAUCAACAUUUUGACCAAAAUCUGAACUUCAUGUACAUAGAGGUUGAUAAAGUGACAGAGAGGGAGAAAGUUACUGUCAUGAGCACCAUUAAUCCAACUAAGGACCUGUUGGCUGACUUGAUUGGGUGCCAGCGACUUCCUGAAGAUCAACGUAAAAAAGUACACCAGCUAAAGGACUUGUUGGACCAGAUCCUAAUGUUGGACCCAGCUAAGCGAAUUAGCAUCAACCAGGCCCUGCAGCAUGCAUUCAUCCAGGAAAAAAUUUAAAUGAGAUGAAGAAACUCCAAGGGUUUGAGUAAUUAAAUACAAAGACUGAAGAAAUUUCACAGCAGUUUAUUAUUAAUGUAUAUAAACUUAUAAAUAUUUCUGCAGCAAAUUUGAGGAAGCAUGAUAUAUUUGAAUUAACACCGAGGGUGAUAUUUCUUUUAGAAAUGUUAGUUAAUCUGUUUUGUGUCUUAUGUGAAAUUUCACUGUAGAAAUGUUUUAAUUGCCAAGACUGCACAGAAUUACAGUGCUAAUGUAUAUGGUUGCAGUUCACAUAAAAGACAAAAGCGUCUGUUAUGAGUGGCAGUGCUGGGUGGUUGAUUUGUUUUUAGCAGACUUGGCUUCAGUUUGCUCUUCAGAUACAAUGGCCAGCAUAAAUGCUGUUUAUAUUCACGUUUUCCUAGGUGUGUGUGUGCAGGCCACAGCAGCAUGCCCUUGGUGUAGUCAGUGCCGAAGGGAGUCUGUUCCUUCUUGAGCCUGCCUGCAGGGAUGUCUCCUCUUUUAAAGCAGGUUGUGUACAACAUUCAGUACACUGAAGGUAAGCUAAACCAUCAACAUCACCAGUGUUUUAGAUGUUAUUUUAUUGGAAUAACUGAAAAUGAGGGAUAGCUUUGUGGCAGAAUUCCCUGCAUGUGUGAUAACUGAUCUUGUUUUAUUUUUUCGCAUCGCAACUGUGGCAUAGUUACAGUUUCUGUUCUGUCAUCACAUUUAAAAUUGGAAGCAUAUGCGCUUGAUGGAUAGAGCGCCUUCAGUGUACUGUUUCUUAUCAACUUUACUUUUUUUUAAAUCAACUUGCUAUAGACUUUAUACAUUUUGUUAAAUACAGUUCUUAGUGACAUAGAGACUGCAUAGUUUUCAUUUACUAAUUAAAAUGUUGAGGCCUACUUCUGAAAGUCCUCAUAUUUAAAAGAUAGACAACAUAAUGAGAUUUUUAACUAUUUGUAUGUCAUUUUGAAAGUGUACUGCUUUAUGGUAAAAGUGUUUUUCAUUUGUUCAUUGUUUGCAUUAUUUGUGAUCAUGUUGUCUUUCAAUACAGGCAUAAACCUUCCACUCUUGAACAAAGCAGCUGCUUUUUAAAAGCGGUAAUUGCUUCUUUACCUUUUAUUUCUUUUGUAAAUGAAGCUUUUCUUUUAAAAUGUGACUUUAAAGUGUUGUCUAUUGCAUAAACAGUUGACACUCACUUACUGUAAUGAGAAGAUUGUUCUGCAUGGGAAGUGGGCCGUGCAGAUCUCUGUAUGUUCUCAGUAUGCAUCACUAGAUAAUAAAGUCUUUUGUGAACAAGGCAUUUGUAGCCAUUUUUAAAAGAUUUUGUCUUCAGUGCUGGUAAGUCAGGUAAACUGUAAAUAGUUAAAGCAGUCUUUGUUUUUCUCCUGAAAGGAUUACCUGCUAAAGAUGUAACUCAGUAUAGCCUUAUUUCUAAAUUGUUUUUAAUAAUUAAGGUCUUAAUUAUUUCAUCCAGAAAAAGUUCUUCAAAUUUUGUCAGCUUUCAGUGUAGUGAGGUUAUUCCUCAGUGUAGUAGGUUAUGGGGUCUAACUCAGGAUUUAACUAAUGUUUCUGCUAUUUUCUCACUUUUCCUUUUGAUGGUGCGGAAAGAGAAAAAGGAAAACGGGGCACAGGCCAUUCGACGCCUUCUCCAAGGGGUCUGAUUUGCUGAGACACCAGCUUCACCUUCUUAACAAGGUUAUUUCUGACAGCAUGUGUAGAUAAACAUUUAGCAGCAAUUUAAAACAAAAUCAUGUAAAUCGGCUUGGUUUUGCGACACAAAGGAUUGUGUAUGUUUAAGAUGGUAGAGAGGAUUUUUAAAUCCUGUGUAAUCUUUACUGUUUGGGAGUGGGUCAACUCACUGUUUGUCUCCCUGAGGAUUAGGGAGGACAGUAACAUCUGGGGGUUUAAAUAGUAAUUUUACAUUGUAAAUGGGAUUUUUUUAUUCACCCAGGCACCUAAUUACAACAAGCAUGCACAUUUUGGUGCAUUCAAGAAUGGAAUAUCAGAAUAGCAGCAUUCUCCUGGUGGGUUAUGCUCCAUUUAAAGACAUGAAAUGAACUACACAGCCAGGAAGGUGAUAGAUGAGAUAAUAAACCACCUCUGAACCUACACCCGUCUCCUCAUGGUUAGACUUACUAAAAUAAACACACGGCAGUUUCCAGCUACAGGUAGAGUGAGGCCUUUUAAACAAGGCAUCACGGGCGCAGCGUCCACCUUAACGAUAUGGGUAGGGAUUUUCCCACCAUGCUUACUUUACUUUGGUGCUAAUAUGCUGCAUAUUCAGGUCUUUUAUAGUUGUUUUCACUCAAAAUAGUAACUGCUUUCUUCUGAUGAUUUUCCUGGCUUCAUUUUGUAGUUAUUUAAUAAGUUGAUUUCCACUAGAAACAGUUCAUCUUAUGCCUUCAAAGCUUUUGCUUGCUCUUUAAAAACACAAAGUUGCUUGUUACUUGUUCUUUGUGUUUUAGGUGCAGAUCACUGGAAGAUGACGGCAGCCAGAAGACAUGAGCCAAGGUUUCUGUCCCAUAAAAGAUCUUUUCAGUUCUCAUUUAGUGUGUGUCUGACUUGUAGUUUCAGCGUUACAGUUUGGGUUUCAUUGCUGUGGUAUAAGAACAGUGCUGUUGUGCCCAUCUGUAAAGUGCUCCUUGUAUAUCAUAGUUCCUGCAGCUACAGCCUUCCUCGAAAGUAAAAAGCAAGUUUAGUCCUAAAAAGCCCACAUUUCAUAGCUGUCAGAAUUAGGUCCUGAAGAUCACUAAGAAAAAAAAAUAGCUGCCAGGUUAGUGUACAUUUGAAAAUAACCUGCAAGUUGCAUGUGCUAGCCACACCUGUAACCUCAGCACGCUUGGAGUGGAGGCAGAAGGAUGUGGGGUUCAAGGUCUGCCUGGCCUAUCAGAGCUCUUUUUUUUUAAUGCUUUGGCUUUAAGCAGGUGCCUAAAUCAUAAAAGUAGCCUAGGUUUAACAAGCUGGUCAACGCCUUUAAUAGCUGUGCUUUGUUUUAGUUCGUUGUGACCAACUUUUUAGUGUCAGAGACAUAAAAUAGUAAUGGCAGGUGUUGUGGAGGUGAGAAAGGCGGUACUAUACCAUCAUCUUCCCGACCUUUAAGGAACCGGGGAGCUGCACUAGAGAAACGUCCUUCUGUUUGAUGUGGUAAUGUCACUGAGGUAGAGUUUGCAGUUGUGUAAGACCUCUCUUAGGUUGAGGUCAGUUGUGAAUGAUCCUAUUGGACAGACCUGCGUUCAUGUUUCUGAUUAGCUGAAAAGUCUUCAGGGGAAGCUGACAGGAAGUUUACGCUUUCAUACUUUAUAGCAGAAAUGACAAGAGAUCACCAAGCCUGAGGGCCAUAAAACUUUUUUGUGUUUAGGAAAUUUUUAAAGGCAAAUUUAUGUUCUUCUUAGGAAAUAAAGAAUACCAAGAUAUGUGGAUAUUCACGUAAUCACUAUAUACAUGGGCAAUUAGUCCAAAGACCUUCUAACAUUAUUCUGGGCAGUCCAUGCACUCACCUUGAGGAGGGUUCAGAAACUCUUAAGCAUUUUUUCUGGGGUCAAAGGAGGAGCAGGCAGCCAGGAAGCGUUCGUCAUGAUAGGCCUCUUGGCAGACUUGUUCUCCAGGACCUUCAGAUAUGAGGGACUUGGGCAGUUCUGAAGAGGAGCAGCAUUCUGUUAGAAACGAGGACCUUCCGGUGUUUGUAUUUACGCUCAAGUCCUGAUUAACAACGUUCUGUUUCUUCAUUCCCAGUGGCUACUUCCUCAGCUAUUUUAUUUUUAAAAGACAAUGUGAUUUUUAUUUUACCAUUGCAAUUACCAUCUUUUUUUUCCCCCCGUAACAAGAUUAAAUUUCUCAGGACACUUUUGGGAUACAAAAUACAUAUUUUAUGGUAUGUAGCAGAGUUAGUGAAAUGUAAUGUUCUCAUUUUGGCCCCAGAUUUGCAUUUCUUCUAGUCUACUCUGGCAUCAUAGGGAGAAAUAGACUCGGAAAUGAAACAAAGGAAUUACAUGUGUUAAAAUUUAAAUUAUUUAGGAAAUGAGUGUGUAUUUUUUGGAUAAGAUUGUAUAGUGAGAUGUGACAAUAUCUCCUUAUGGUAGCAUUUGGGCCCUAUAGGUAAUAUUUUGUGGCUCUUAUACAUUCAACAUGAAUUUAUUCUACAUGCAAUGUCCUAAUAUAAAUGUUCACUGCAAAUCAUUUGUAAUUUUUCCAUGUCAGUGUUGAAUACAGUUGACUAAGAUUUGGGAUUUUUUGUUUUUUGUUUGUUUUGGGGCUUCCUUGCCAUACCAUUGUAGCAUCCUUACUUUUUCUUCUUCUGUGUAUAGGGUAAGGGACUGUUCUUCUGAAGAGCCAUUCCAUUUAGUGAUCAAGAUACGGAAGCUGACCUAAGAAAAUGUUGUGUAUUCUAAUUGUUCUUGAUACCAUUUGAGUUGUAACUUACGUUGUAGCAGCAAAUGAUCCCAAACUACUUAAUAGGAAGCUUAAUAAAGUGUGCCUCUUGCUACCA